rnacentral:misc_RNA from 1 species
UACGUAGGGGGCAAGCGUUGUCCGGAAUUAUUGGGCGUAAAGCGCGCGCAGGUGGUGGUUUAAGCCUGAUGUGAAAGCCCACGGCUCAACCGUGGAAGGUCAUUGGAAACUGGAUCACUUGAGUGCAGGAGAGGAAAGUGGAAUUCCACGUGUAGCGGUGAAAUGCGUAGAUAUGUGGAGGAACACCAGUGGCGAAGGCGACUUUCUGGCCUGUAACUGACACUGAGGCGCGAAAGCGUGGGGAGCAAACAGG